UGGGGAAUUUUGGACAAUGGGGGAAACCCUGAUCCAGCCAUCCCGCGUGUGCGAUGAAGGCCUUCGGGUUGUAAAGCACUUUUGGCAGGAAAGAAACGUCGCGGGUUAAUACCCCGCGAAACUGACGGUACCUGCAGAAUAAGCACCGGCUAACUACGUGCCAGCAGCCGCGGUAAUACGUAGGGUGCAAGCGUUAAUCGGAAUUACUGGGCGUAAAGCGUGCGCAGGCGGUUCGGAAAGAAAGAUGUGAAAUCCCAGAGCUUAACUUUGGAACUGCAUUUUUAAACUACCGGGCUAGAGUGUGUCAGAGGGAGGUGGAAUUCCGCGUGUAGCAGUGAAAUGCGUAGAUAUGCGGAGGAACACCGAUGGCGAAGGCAGCCUCCUGGGAUAACACUGACGCUCAUGCACGAAAAGCGUGGGGAGCAAACAGGAUUAGAUACCCUGGUAGUCCACGCCCUAAAACGAUGUCAACUAGCUGUUGGGGCCUUCGGGCCUUGGUAGCGCAGCUAACGCGUGAAGUUGACCGCCUGGGGAGUACGGUCGCAAGAUUAAAAACUU
rnacentral:rRNA from 1 species